AUUGAACGCUGGCGGCAGGCCUAACACAUGCAAGUCGAGCGGAUGAUGGGAGCUUGCUCCUGGAUUCAGCGGCGGACGGGUGAGUAAUGCCUAGGAAUCUGCCUGGUAGUGGGGGACAACGUUUCGAAAGGAACGCUAAUACCGCAUACGUCCUACGGGAGAAAGCAGGGGACCUUCGGGCCUUGCGCUAUCAGAUGAGCCUAGGUCGGAUUAGCUUGUUGGUGAGGUAAUGGCUCACCAAGGCGACGAUCCGUAACUGGUCUGAGAGGAUGAUCAGUCACACUGGAACUGAGCCACGGUCCAGCCUCCUACGGGAGGCAGCAGUGGGGAAUAUUGGACAAUGGGCGAAAGCCUGAUCCAGCCAUGCCGCGUGUGUGAAGAAGGUCUUCGGAUUGUAAAGCACUUUAAGUUGGGAGGAAGGGCAGUAAGCUAAUACCUUGCUGUUUUGACGUUACCGACAGAAUAAGCACCGGCUAACUCUGUGCCAGCAGCCGCCGUAACAC
rnacentral:rRNA from 1 species